rnacentral:rRNA from 1 species
GACGUAGGAGGCGAGCGUUGUCCGGAUUCAUUGGGCGUAAAGAGCACGCAGGCGGUUUGGCAAGUCGGAUGUGAAAACCCGGAGCUCAACUCCGGGCGUGCAUCCGAUACUGCCCGACUAGAGGUAGGUAGGGGAGAUCGGAAUUCCUGGUGUAGCGGUGAAAUGCGCAGAUAUCAGGAGGAACACCGGUGGCGAAGGCGGGUCUCUGGGCAGUAACUGACGCUGAGGAGCGAAAGCGUGGGGAGCGAACAGG